UACGAAGGGGGCUAGCGUUGCUCGGAAUCACUGGGCGUAAAGCGCACGUAGGCGGAUCUUUAAGUCAGGGGUGAAAUCCUGGAGCUCAACUCCAGAACUGCCUUUGAUACUGGGAUCUCGAGUCCGGGAGAGGUGAGUGGAACUGCGAGUGUAGAGGUGAAUUCGUAGAUAUUCGCAAGAACACCAGUGGCGAAGGCGGCUCACUGGCCCGGUACUGACGCUGAGGUGCGAAAGCGUGGGAGCAAACAGG
rnacentral:rRNA from 1 species